GCCUAUGUAGCUCAGAGGUAGAGCACUUCCUUGGUAAGGAAGAGGUCAGGGGUUCAAUUCCCCUCAUCGGCU
rnacentral:tRNA from 1 species